UGGGGAAUAUUGCGCAAUGGGCGGAAGCCUGACGCAGCGACGCCGCGUGGGGGAUGACGGCCUUCGGGUUGUAAACCUCUUUCAGCAGGGACGAAGUUGACGUGUACCUGCAGAAGAAGCGCCGGCUAACUACGUGCCAGCAGCCGCGGUAAUACGUAGGGCGCAAGCGUUGUCCGGAAUUAUUGGGCGUAAAGAGCUCGUAGGUGGCUGGUCGCGUCUGCCGUGAAAGCCCGCAGCUUAACUGCGGGUCUGCGGUGGAUACGGGCCGGCUAGAGGUAGGUAGGGGCAAGUGGAAUUCCUGGUGUAGCGGUGAAAUGCGCAGAUAUCAGGAGGAACACCGGUGGCGAAGGCGGCUUGCUGGGCCUUACCUGACGCUGAGGAGCGAAAGCGUGGGGAGCGAACAG
rnacentral:rRNA from 1 species